rnacentral:lncRNA from 1 species
CUAUUAUGUAAUAAAUUGAGAAGGUUACAUAAAAAGACACAUUUCGUCAUUUCUUUGCAGUGAAAAACACAUUAUGGUUUUAGCACACUUUACUUGUACGGCUUGGUAGAUUCGAGACCAAAAUGCCCCUCUCUAAAAAUUUAGAAGAAAGCAACGAUUAAAUUAGUUAUUUUUUUUAUAUUAAUAAAUUAAACGGUGCGUUUUGCUAGGAUAUGGUGAUUACAAAGUCGUGGAUAGGAAAUAGUGGUUACACAUGUAUGUUAGAAGGUAUUGUUAUUGUUGUUGACGUGAUUGUUGUGGUUAGGGUACAAAAUAUACAAAGUUUCUAGCACAUAUAGUAUGGAUGUGAUACAGUGAAUAUUUCAAAUAUCUUAACUUGAUAAACAUACAUAAUGUUUGAUAAUAUAACAGACCUAGAAACCGCAUAUAUUACAAAAGCAUACAUAAUGUUUGGGAAGGAGAUGUAUGGACAAGCGUGAUGUUUCCAAGUCAGUAACCACAAAAUUCAUAUCCAUAACCAUACAACCUCAUUUACGGUAUCUAUUGUCACCAUAGUCUCCACCUUUGUAUCCACUUUCGUAUCCAUCGCCUCUGUAUCCAUAACCACCAUAACCUCCACUCCGGUGUCAACCACCAUCUCCUCAUCUCAAGCAACCACCUUAGUAUCCACCAUCUUCAUAUCCAU